rnacentral:rRNA from 1 species
GGCCCAGAUCGUUUACCGUGAAAAAAUUAGAGUGUUCAAAGCAGGCAGAUUUAACUUUCUGCCACCGAAUACAUUAGCAUGGGAUAAUGGAAUAGGACCCUGUCCUCCUAUUUUCAGUUGGUUUUUGAGGACCAGGGUAAUGAUUAAUAGGGAUAGUUGGGGGCAUUAAUAUUUAAUUGUCAGAGGUGAAAUUCUUGGAUUUAUGAAAGAUUAACUUCUGCGAAAGCAUCUGCCAAGGAUGUUUUCAUUAAUCAAGAACGAAAGUUAGGGGAUCGAAGACGAUCAGAUACCGUCGUAGUCUUAACCAUAAACGAUGCCGACCAGCGAUUAGGAGACGUUGAAUACAAAACACCACCAUCAGACGGCGGAUCAUCCUCACGCAAGUGGGGGUGGUUCGUUUCUCUGGUGGCCCGGUGAAUGACUCCCCUAGCAGCUUGUGAGA